rnacentral:rRNA from 1 species
UACGAAGGUGGCAAGCGUUAUUCGGAUUUACUGGGCGUACAGGGAGCGUAGGCGGUUCGGUAAGCCCUUUGUGAAAUCUUCAGGCUUAACCUGGAACAGUCGGAGGGGACUGCCGGGCUAGAGGACGGGAGAGGAACGCGGAAUUCCCGGUGUAGCGGUGAAAUGCGUAGAGAUCGGGAGGAAGGCCGGUGGCAAGGGCGGCGCUCUGGAACGUUUCUGACGCUGAGGCUCGAAGGCGUGGGGAGCAAACAGGAUUAGAUACCCUGGUAGUCCACGCCUUAAACUAUGAAUACAAAGUGUCGGCGGGUUACCGCCGGUGCCGCAGCUAACGCAUUAAGUAUUCCGCCUGGGAAGUACGGCCGCAAGGUUG